CUUACAGCUUAAGGCCAUCUGCAGACAAUGUUUGCAGGGGCUCUGUGGGGAUGGGCCCAUCAAGUGCUGGCUCACGUGUUUCCCUUGGAUGGAAAGGAUGCUGUACAUCCCUCGUUCCCUGAUGGAUGUAAAAAUGCCAUAAGGACAUGGCAGCAAACCCUCCAUCCUCAGGAAAUGCUCCCCACACACAGUGUUUGGUAAACACCUUUCCCACAGACUGGAGCCCAGAAUGUUUAAGCUGAACACAUUCCAAAUUGAUGCAGAGUAGGAGUGAAAAGAAAGGGAGAGGAAAAAAAAAGCACCAAAAACCCCUAAACUAGUUUAAAGCCUCGUUUGAAAUUCUCCUGUUCCAUCCCCGUCGCUCUGGAGGGAGAGCAGAAGUCCAGGAGAACCAUCUGUGCAGGGAAGGCUCUUUCCAGAGUCGUUGCUGGGGUGUGUGAUGAGUUGAUUGCAUUGGUUGGGAAGAGGGAGGUUGGGAUGGGCCUCCAGGGAGCCUUCAGCAGCCAGAAGGGUUUUGAACGGAAUAGUAAUAAAGGAACGAGGGUUGGUUUGUAAAUGGACGUGUUUGUUUCAUGGAAUCACGGGAUGGUUCGGGCCGGAAGGCACCUUAAACAUCAUCUCAUUCCAACCCCCUGCUGUGGGCAGGGGUGCCACCCACCCGUGCCAGGCUUUGUCACCCAUCCCAAGAGCAGUGUCACGUGUCAGGGGGUGCCAAGAGAGCUUGGUUUCGGGGGGGAGUUGAGGUUGAAUUAGAGCAGAGUUUUGUUCCCGGCGUUUCUCGCGGCAGACCCGUCUGUGCCAGCUUCAAACCAUAUCACCGUCCCACCGUGGAUUUUGGAAUCCCUGAGCGGCCACUGGCCAACAAAUUCUGCUGCAAACCAGCGUGAGGUCGUGUGGGAAGCUCUGGUGUGGCUGAGUGGCACUGGAGAUGGGCAGGAAGCCUUCAGCAGGGAGCUGGAGACACGGGAAGGCAAGGAGCAUGUGGAAUGUGUGCUAGGGAAGGAUCUCGAGCGGUGAGUGUGUCCUUCACCCCGCUGUUAACAAAGAGGAGCAGGGGCCAAAGGGCUCUUUGAAAUGGAAACAAAGGCUGAAGCUCCCGUCUCAGAAGGUUCUGUGUCUGCUCACCAGGUUUGGAAAACUGUUUCUGUGGUUACGGAACAAACAGGAUCAGACAAAGGCAGGACACGUAAGGGAGCCCGGGAGGGAGGUCGGGGUGAGCCUGGGGGGAGGCUGCUGACUGCAGAUGAGGACUUGCACAGGGGUUUGGAGACCUCCAGGUCCCUUCAGAUGGUCAGAUAGAGCAGUGCUGGGAGCAGGAGUUGUUUUCUGAUCCCAGGGGG